AGAUGUAUGUUUAAUCGUCGAUGAUAUUAUGAUAAAAUAUCGUGAAAACGAGCUAUACACAAUACUCCAUAAUUGAUGUAGAAUCUACAUAAGAUUGCACUGUCAAAAAAGAGAAUUUUGUAUUCCGUAGUAAAUUAUCGAUAUUCAUUCCGUUGACAUUUAUGUAGCAUCGCGAUAUAUCAAUAAUUUCGAGGUUGAGGUAUGUAAGUAAAGAACAGCCUUGACCACCAGUAUCAUACGUUCGGUCACGUUAAUUAAUACAAACGUAAGAAAGUGCAAUUCGUAAACCAAUGUCAUAGUGAUCGACGACGACAUCAUGUUGCAACCGGUCGUAAGGCAACCAUGAUGUAAACUAAAGCGAUUGCAGUGCCAUUCAUGACUUUUUACGAACUAAUUGACUAAUUGACGUGGAUAUCAGCAUAUGGAUAUUCAGAAAUCGACGGUAUUUGAUUUAGUAUACAAAUAUUUACGAAAAUGCGCCGAUCGGGAUGUGAAAUGGAAGCAACGAAAUUGCGCGUGCAAUAAAUUUCAAAAGCAACAUGCGAGAAGAAAGGAUAUUCAAAAACGAGAUGUACCGAUACCGCGCGUCAAUUUCCAUCAAAGUUUUGACGACAACAACGAGCAGUUUAAGUCAGAUAAAAUUAAAUGUGCCAACAAGAUAGUUAGGAAGAAAAGAAGAUGUACUGCGUAUUAUGCGAAAGCUAUCCACGAUGGUAUAGUAAUAUGCAUCUAAAUUUAUAGAAUAUCAAUUAUGAUUUUAAUAAAACUAAAUUUAUGAUGUAAAGAAUUACUUAUGGAAAAAAAAGAAAAGUAAAGGAAAGAAAUUCUUAGAUUAAUUUCACCAUUUAGGAUCAAAACACGCAAAAUGCUACAUCAAGGAAGCACUCUUAUAUGGAUUACUAUCCGGAUUAUUAAUUCCGAGUGAUGAACAAAACAUGUUGCGUGUCUCGCGAAAAUUGGGAAACAUUUGUCCGUCG